AGUUGAAGUUAAAACCUCUACAGGUGUUCUUCGGCGAGCCAUCAACAAAAUUAUUCCUCUACCAUUUAAAGACUGAAUAAACUUGAAAAACUUUUAUUUUAUAUUUAAUAGUUUACCAAUUUAAUAUUUAGUUUAGUGUAAUUUUAGUGACUUUAAAUUUAUUUGAAUAUCUGGAAAUUGAA